rnacentral:rRNA from 1 species
AUUGAACGCUGGCGGAAUGCUUUACACAUGCAAGUCGAACGGUAGAGGGGGCAACCCCUUGAGAGUGGCGAACGGGUGAGUAAUAUAUCGGAACGUGCCCAGUCGUGGGGAUAACGUAGCGAAAGCUACGCUAAUACCGCAUACGAUCUACGGAUGAAAGCGGGGGAUCGCAAGACCUCGCGCGAUUGGAGCGGCCGAUAUCAGAUUAGGUAGUUGGUGAGGUAAAGGCUCACCAAGCCGACGAUCUGUAGCUGGUCUGAGAGGACGACCAGCCACACUGGGACUGAGACACGGCCCAGACUCCUACGGGAGGCAGCAGUGGGAAUUUUGGACAAUGGGCGCAAGCCUGAUCCAGCAAUGCCGCGUGCAGGAUGAAGGCCUCGG